UUAAAAGUUUUCUAGGGUUCCGCAAAUUAUAUUUGGUCUGGUCCGAGAGAAAACGUACAGUUUAACUGUAACACGGAAGGACAAAAGCCUGGGAGAU
rnacentral:sRNA from 2 species